CUCUUCAUCUGAUAACAAAAAAUCAAAAAAAUAUACGAAAAUUUCUGUUACUUCUUUCAAUUUCGGUUUCUGGUGUUCAAACCGGGGAGUUCGAGUCCGAGCAUUUUGGGUUCCGAUCGGUGGUUCUGUGUCGCCUCGGAUUCUCAUCGCUGCAUUUGCUAUUCCAGGUGUGGAUCCAUGUACCAGGACUCGAGCAUGACAGAUACCCUAGGACCACUGCCUUCAGGAGCUGCUUGAGGAGGCUUUUUUUUUAUGUUUUUGAGUCUAUUGUUCAUGUUUUACUUCCUAGUCCUGUACAGUAGUAUUCAGUAGUGUCAGAGUUGUCAUAGUAUAGUUUAGUUUGUUGAGUCUCUCAUUAUCUUACUUCCUGUUUUGUAUUUGAAAAUCAAAAAAAAUUAUAAAUGAAAAAUCCAAAAAGAUUUUUGUUUCUUAA